UUAAUUUAGGGAUGAAUUAUUUUUAUGUAAUGAUGUAAAUACCAGAAAUAGUUCUUCAUUAUAAGGCAUACAUGUCAAACUAUUACAAAAGGAAAAGUAUAAUAAAAUUAGAUCUCGUAUUGAAAUCUCAUAUAAGGCAUACAUGUCAAAACAUGAAGUAUUCGUGUUCUAUUGUAGGUAGUUUCUUGCCCUUGUGCACUGGGUCUUGCAACACCCACAUCAAUCCUAGUUGGCACUUCUCUUGGAGCAAGGCAAGGACUCCUUGUGAGAGGAGCAGAUGUAUUGGAACGCUUGGCCAAUAUAGAUCAUAUUGCUUUAGACAAGACAGGAACCCUCAUUGAAGGAAAACCUACUGUUUCUAGCAUUGCUUCUUUCAAGUAUAAAGACUCGGAAAUUCUUCAAAUAGCUGCUGCUCUAGAGAGUACAACAUCACAUCCAAUUGCUGAUGCUAUCUUAAACAAAGCCAAAUCAUUGGAGUUGAGUAUCCCAGUCACAAAAAGACAAUUAACCGAACCAGGUUUUGGAACAUUAGCAGAAGUAGAUGGCCUUUUGGUUGCAGUGGGUUCUUUGGAAUGGGUUCAUGAACGUUUCCAGAGAAGAACAGAUCAAUCUGACAUUUCAAAACUAGAGCAUGCCGUGCAUCAAUCAUCAGAAGGCAUAACAUCCUCAAAUUAUUCAAAAACAAUUGUAUAUGUUGGACGUGAAGGGGAAGGUAUCAUCGGUGGUAUUGCAAUAUCCGACAGC